rnacentral:lncRNA from 1 species
GAUUAAGUCAGAAAGCUCGUUGGUCUUUCCGCUCUGGUAGCCAGGAAGUUCGAGAUGGAGCAGCCACAUCUAAUGAGGCCCUUCCUGCUGGUGUUGACGCUGCAGAGUCCAAGGCCAUUCAGGGCAUGGCAUGCACAUCUGUUGGAGCCUACUUCUACAGAAGAGCAGCUGAAACACCCAGCCUUGUGGGACUGAGCAACUACUAGAUCCUUGGACUUCCCAUCCACAGCUGCCCAUUGUUGGGUUAGAUGGACUACAGACUGUAAGUCAUCCCAAUAAAUUCCUUAAUAUACAGAGACAUCCCAUAAGUUCUGUGACUCAAGAGAACCCUGACUAAUACAACCUGCUUGGCUGGGCUGGUGCGAUAGCUCAGCAGGCAAAGUUGACUGCAGUGUAAGCCUGGAGGUGCACCAUUGAUGGAUAGGACGCAUGCAGAGGUGAAAGAGCCGACUCCACAGCAGUCCUCUCACCUCUACAUGGACAUUGGAGCAUGCACCACCAUCAUGCACGCAGUGAUGGUUUAAAUAUGCUUGGCCCAGAGAGUGGCAAUAAUAGGAGGUGUGGCCUUGUUAGAGUAGGUGUGGCCUUGUUGGAGGAAGUGUGUCAUUGUGGGUGUGGGCUAUAAGAAUUUUGUCCUAACUGCCUGGAAGCCAGUCUUCUAACAGUCUUCAGAUAGAGAUGAAGAACUCUCAGCGCUGCCUGCACCAUGCUUGCCUGGGCAAUGGUAUGUUCCUACCUUGAUAAAGGACUGAUCCGCUGAACCUGUAAGCCAGCCCCAAUUAAAUGUUGUCAUUAUAAG